GUUUUCCUUGGGUAUUUUGAGCAAUCGCGAUCUUUUGUCCCGCUAUCCACAUUCGCCUCGCUUGACUUGGCAUCGCGAAGCACACCAGAUGUGGGUGUCACGGUUCCGCCCGGUCGCAAGACUUGGUGGCGAAGAUGGGAAGCCGGUGAGUUGCACUCCGAUGCAACAAAUCCGGCGCUGCCCCCGCAACUGUAAGCAGUGAGUUGAAUCCGACCGAUGUCACUGAUGCGUUUUCGCAUCGGGAAGACCGGAUCAGCGCCGAACUGCGAGCCAGGAGACCUGCCGCGACACCAAAAGAACGUCCACGGGCGGGGUGUCCGGCGGUCGCGUGCUUCGGUGCGUUCGCGCGCCGUGACCAUGCGCCUUCGGCCCAAGCCCCCAGAAAAUUGCAACACGCACGGGGUCUGCCGAUGUCACUCUCGAUCGAACGCCAAGCCGCCAAAUCCGCUCCUCUCAU
rnacentral:misc_RNA from 1 species